GGGCAGGGUGAGUCGACCCCUAAGGCGAGGCCGAAAGGCGUAGUCGAUGGGAAACGGGUUAAUAUUCCCGUACUUGGUGUUACUGCGAAGGGGGGACGGAGAAGGCUAUGUUGGCCGGGCGACGGUUGUCCCGGUUUAAGCGUGUAGGUGUGUGUUCCAGGUAAAUCCGGUUCACUUUAACACUGAGGCGUGACGACGAGGCACUACGGUGCUGAAGCAACAAAUGCCCUGCUUCCAGGAAAAGCCUCUAAGCAUCAGGUAACAUCAAAUCGUACCCCAAACCGACACAGGUGGUCAGGUAGAGAAUACCAAGGCGCUUGAGAGAACUCGGGUGAAGGAACUAGGCAAAAUGGUGCCGUAACUUCGGGAGAAGGCACGCUGACACGUAGGUGAAGUGAUUUACUCAUGGAGCUGAAGUCAGUCGAAGAUACCAGCUGGCUGCAACUGUUUAUUAAAAACACAGCACUGUGCAAACACGAAAGUGGACGUAUACGGUGUGACGCCUGCCCGGUGCCGGAAGGUUAAUUGAUGGGGUCAGCGCAAGCGAAGCUCCUGAU
rnacentral:rRNA from 1 species